rnacentral:rRNA from 1 species
GAUGAACGCUGGCGGCGUGCCUAAUACAUGCAAGUCGAGCGAAGCGGGGACGGGUGAGUAACACGUGGAUAACCUCCUCUAAGACUGGGAUCACUUCGGGAAACCGGAGCUGAACCGGAUACUUUUAGAUGAAUCCGCGCUGCAUUAUCUAGUUGGUAAGGUAACGGCUUACCAAGGCAACGUUGCAUAGCCGACCUGAGAGGAUGAUCGGCCAAACUGGAACUGAGACACGGUCCAGACUCCUACGGGAGGCAGCAGGAGGGAAUCUUCCGCAAUGGGCGAAAGCCUGACGGAGCAAUGCCGCGUGAGUGAUGAAGGCCUUCGGAUCGUAAAACUCUGUUAUUAGGGAAGCGGUACCUAAUCAGAAAGCCACGGCUAACUACGUGCCAGCAGCCGCGGUAAUUC